rnacentral:hammerhead_ribozyme from 1 species
AUCCAGCCGAUGAUUCCCGAAUAGGACGAAAGGCACGUCCUGGAU